rnacentral:rRNA from 1 species
AUUGAACGCUGGCGGUAUGCUUAACACAUGCAAGUCGAACGGUAGCAGGCCUUCGGGCGCUGACGAGUGGCGGACGGGUGAGUAACGCGUAGGAAUCUGCCUCAUAGUGGGGGACAACGUGGGGAAACUCACGCUAAUACCGCAUACGCCCUACGGGGGAAAGCGGGGGAUCUUCGGACCUCGCGCUAUGAGAUGAGCCUGCGUUAGAUUAGCUAGUUGGUGGGGUAAAGGCCUACCAAGGCGACGAUCUAUAGCUGGUCUGAGAGGACGAUCAGCCACACUGGGACUGAGACACGGCCCAGACUCCUACGGGAGGCAGCAGUGGGAAUAUUGGACAAUGGGCGCAAGCCUGAUCCAGCAAUACCGCGUGUGUGAAGAAGGCCCUAGGGUUGUAAAAGGCAACUUUCAAUUGGGAGGAAAACCUGCCGGUUAAUACCCGGUAGCUUGACAUUACCAAUAGAAGAAGCACCGGCUAACUCCGUGCCAGCAGCCGCGGUAA